AUACGUAGGGGGCGAGCGUUGUCCGGAAUGAUUGGGCGUAAAGGGCGCGUAGGCGGCCCGGUAAGUCUGGAGUGAAAGUCCUGCUUUUAAGGUGGGAAUUGCUUUGGAUACUGUCGGGCUUGAGUGCAGGAGAGGUAAGUGGAAUUCCCAGUGUAGCGGUGAAAUGCGUAGAGAUUGGGAGGAACACCAGUGGCGAAGGCGACUCACUGGACUGUAACUGACGCUGAGGCGCGAAAGUGUGGGGAGCAAACAGGAUUAGAUACCCUGGUAGUCCACACUGUAAACGAUGAAUGCUAGGUGUAGGGGGUAUCGACCCCUUCUGUGCCGCAGUUAACACAAUAAGCAUUCCGCCUGGGGAGUACGGCCGCAAGGUUGAAACUCAAAGGAAUUGACGGGG
rnacentral:rRNA from 1 species